GGGAAGGAUGAGAUCACCAUUACCACCUGCAUGAGUUUCAGGGAUGGCCAGAGAAUGGCCUCCUCAGAUGAACUGGGUCCACCCUCAGGAGCAGAUACAGAAAUGGAGUGGCGAAAAGGCAGAAGUCGGGGGCAGAAGGGAGUGAGGUCAUGAACCAGUGUAUACAAGAGUAUGGACAAUAAAAGAAGCUGUGAACACAGAACCAAAGAUAAAUCUCCAAUUCACUGUACACACCGCCAAGGGUCCUGAUAAUUUAUCAAUGGAAGAGGGAAGAGGGGGCUGGCCUGGUGGCAUACUGGUUAAGUUCAUGUGCACUCUGCUUUGGCAGCCUGGGGUUCACGGGUUUGGAUCCACGCGUGGACCUACACACUGCUCAUCAAGCCAUGCUGCAGCAGCGUCCCACAUACAAAAUAGAGGAAGAUUGGCACAGAUGUUAGCUCAGCGACAAUCUCCCUCACGAAAAAAAAAAAA